rnacentral:lncRNA from 1 species
AAUGCCCUUUUGUGAAUUCAGCUGACACCAAUUCUCAAAUGACAGCUGGAAAUUCACAAACUAUUAAGAGAAACCAGCCUCAGUUGAUUCAGUCCAUGAGAGUUCUGCCCUGCUUGCGAAUAUUUGUCUUGUUGACCACCUACUGUUUUUAGCAGUUCUGUGUAGAGAGGAGGAGGGGAGAGGAUUUGGCUCUUGGCACUAAGCUGGUGAUUUUGCAAGAACACAAAACCUACAGAGUAUCUACUAUACUUCAGCCACUGCUUAUACAAAGACAACGAAAACUGGGCAAUCUACCCAGAAGUCAGGUUUAUUAUAAUGAUCAGCGAUGAUGGGAAAACAGAUUAUGUACCAAUUGCUAACCUGGGGUACCAAGACGAAGGAACUCUGCUUUUGGUAGCUAGGCCUCAGUAAACUUCAUCUCACUAUUGUCUGGGAAGGCAGCAAAGGAGAUGUCUGUGUGUAAUUCUGUCCAUUUUCUUCAAGAACUAUGCAUUUGUUAUCCCACCUGCUUUACAUGUUACUACAGACCCUUUUAGGCAGUGUGGUUUUUAGACAUUUCGGUGAGGAUUUCCUUAUUCACAGUUCAGCGAACUGCAAAGGGCCAAGGCAAGAAUUGCCAAUAAUUUUGAAGGACAACAAAGAAAGAAGAGGAAUUUCCUUUGUUGGACAUCCAGACUUAUACUAAAGCCACAAAGAUAAAGAAUAUGUGGUGUUGGAAUGGACAUAACAAAUAUACCAAUAAAGAGUCCAGAAACAGACCUGCACACGUGUGAAUCACCUGGUUUGUGACAGCAGCACCGAUGUAGAGUAGUAAGAGAAGGACAGAAGUAGCACUGUAGAGCUGUAACAGAACCCUGAUGCUGGGUCAACUGGGGUGCCAUGUGAGGGCACCCCACACCCUACCUCACUCCAUGCACAAAAACCAAUUCCAGAGGGGUUGUGAUACAAAUAUGAAAUGUAAAACAAUAAAGUUUCAAAAGAUCUUCUUGAAGAAUAUCUCCUUUGCCUUUGUGUAGGGGAUGAUUUCUUAGACACAAUAACACUAGUCAUGAGGGAAAAAGAUAAACUAGGU